rnacentral:lncRNA from 1 species
UAUUAUUCUUAUAUUAUGUGGUUUCUUGCAGUUCAGGGAGGUGAAGUGCAGGUUUGCUUGAGACUGAGAUUGCCAGGACUGGGAGUGGGCCUCUGCUUUCUGUUCCUCUAGCCCCUGGUCACGGCGGUGAGGGUACCACCUCCCUCUGUCUGUUUCUUUCUCCCAGCAUCCUCCACCUGCUUUUCUCCAUGGAACACACCGAGUCCCUCCAGGUACCAGGGCUACCCCUGCACUGAGUGUGGAUGUGGCCACCACGUCUUGAACUAUGCCAUCUGUCUGUUUAGGCUGCUAUGAUGGCUUGAGGCAGACGUCAUGCCUUAUUCCGCCCUUAUGUAUCUGCAGUGCCUUGAACGGUGUCUGACCCAUAGGACAGUGGCCAGUAAGUGUUUAUUCGAUGGAUAAACAAAUACAGGGAUGUUCCGAGUGAAUGGCUCUGGAGUGCGCACAAGCGCUGUUCCAGUUCAGUGAAAAACGAACAUUUGGCCUCAGCUGGGGGCUCAUUCCGCUUUGGGCUCCAGGGUCAUUUCAGUUCAAGGCUCCGGUAAGGAAUGUGGGGUUUUGCCUGAGCCUGGGCAGGGCUGCUCUCUAAGGUCUGAGAGCAGCCAGCCAGCCGUGGGUACCUCAAUUAGGGGUGGAAAGGGGCCUUUCUUUGUGGAAAUCCCCACGGCCCAGGGCCUGGGACCAAUCCAUGGGGUCACAAGGCUGCGGCGGAGGCCGUGGUGGAGGCCGUGGUAGAGGCUGCGGCAGAGCCAGCCUGCACUUUGCACACACUGCCCGCCCCAGGCGUGACCUUGAUCUCGGACCCUCAGUGACUGCGUCUGACCUGGGACAAUACACAAUGCGGCUGGCACUGCCACAAGCGCCUCAUUGAGCUGGCUCCGAGCAUCCUGGAGGCGGGUGGAGAGGGUUGUUCAGUGAGGAUUCUUUGUUGAGGAGAAAACGCCGUGGCCGCCCACAUAAAUAUGCAAAGCCUCCCGAACCCUGGCCGUGGAAAGAAACCCACCCCGUCACCCCAGAACCAGAACCAGAAUUGCCUACCAAGGAGAAGGAGGGCUGGAAAGAGGGGACAGAUGCGGGCCAGGCCUCUGCCGGGGGCAGGACCAUGCUGUGCGAUCUGAUUCCAUGAGCCCGAUCUGCAGUGCAGUGGCCUUGGCAUCAGUUUUCAGUGGGGGACUUGAGGCUCAGCGAGGCCACAGUGCUUGACCAAGGCCACAUGAGGGUGGCUGAUCCUCAGAAGGACCAGAAAGUCCCCAAACAACAGGAGUGCAGUGAUUAUGACCCUCGGAGCAAUGAUGAUGAAGAUUCUGGAAGGAUCCUUGGGUUUGUUCUGGAAAACGAGGUUGCUGUGUUUCGAAUGGGAGGUGGGGCAGGUGAUGGAAAGAAUGCAGGCUUUGGAUCCCAACAGUCCUAGGCUCAAAUCCUGGCCAUGUUUGCUCUGGUUGUGUGACCCUGGGCAGUUGUCUAACCUCUCUGUGCUUGGUUUCUAAUAGUACCUACCUCACAAGCUGCUUGUGAAGAUUAAAUGAGGUAAUACAUGCCCAGCCCAUAUAUAGGGCAAGCAUGUGGGUGCCUGGUCAUGGUUUUGUCAUUGCUAUUGCCCGGGUCACAUGGGGACCCUCGGAACUGUGGAAAACUGUAUGGAGUUUCCUCAGAAAACUAAAUAUAGAACUAGCACAUGAUUCAGCAAUCUCGCUCCUGGGCAUCCAGACAAAACUUUCAUUCAAAAAGACGCAUGCACCCCUAUGUUCACUGCAGCACUCUUCACAAUAGCCAAGACAUGGAAACAACCUAAAUGUCCAUUAACAGAUGAAUGGAUGAAGACGAUGUGAUAUAUAUACACAACGGAAUACUACUCAGCCAUGAAAAAUAACAAAGUAAUGCCAUUUGCAGCAACAUGGAUGGAGAGACUCUCAUACUAAGGGAAGUAAGUCAGAAAGAGAAAGAUGAAUACUACAUAAUAUCACAUAUAUCUGGAAUCUAAUAUAUGACACAAAUGAAACUUUCCACAGAAAAGAAACUCGUGGACUUGGAGAACAGACUUGUGGUUGCCAAGGGCGAGGGGAGGGAGUGGAAGGAACUGGGAGUCUGGGGAACGGAUGCAUUGGUCGGUAGAUAAGCCAUGAGUUCCUGCUGUAUAGCACAGGGAACUAUAUCUAGUCACUUGAGAUGGAACAUGGUGGAGGAUAACGUGAGAAAAAGAAUGUAUAUAUGAUAUAUGACUGCAAUGAAGUCCUGCUGUAUAGCACAGGGAACUCUAUUCAAUCACUUGUGAUAGAAUAUGGUAGGAGAUAAUGUAAGAAAAAGAAUGUGUAUUUAUACAUAUACGUAUAACCGGGUCACUUUGCUGUAUGGCAGAAAAUGACAGAACAUCGUAAAUCAACUAUAAUUUUAAAAAUUAAAAAAAAAAAAUAGGAGUUCCCAUCGUGGCGCAGUGGUUAACGAAUCUGACUAGGAAUCAUGAGGUUGCGGGUUUGAUCCCUGCCCUUGCUCAGUGUUGCCGUGAGCUGUGGUGCCUCGGAUCCUGCAUUGCUAUGGCUCUGGCGUAGGCCGGUGGCUACAGCUCCGAUUCGACCCCUAGCCUGGGAACCUCCAU